GCUUGAGGAGGGGCCCGCGUCCGAUUAGCUAGUUGGUAGGGUAAUGGCCUACCAAGGCGACGAUCGGUAGCCGGCCUGAGAGGGCGGACGGCCACACUGGGACUGAGACACGGCCCAGACUCCUACGGG
rnacentral:rRNA from 1 species